rnacentral:rRNA from 1 species
AGUGAACGCUGGCGGUAGGCCUAACACAUGCAAGUCGAACGGCAGCACAGUAAGAGCUUGCUCUUACGGGUGGCGAGUGGCGGACGGGUGAGGAAUACAUCGGAAUCUACUUUUUCGUGGGGGAUAACGUAGGGAAACUUACGCUAAUACCGCAUACGACCUACGGGUGAAAGCAGGGGAUCUUCGGACCUUGCGCGAUUGAAUGAGCCGAUGUCGGAUUAGCUAGUUGGCGGGGUAAAGGCCCACCAAGGCGACGAUCCGUAGCUGGUCUGAGAGGAUGAUCAGCCACACUGGAACUGAGACACGGUCCAGACUCCUACGAGAGGCAGCAGUGGGGAAUAUUGGACAAUGGGCGCAAGCCUGCUCCAGCCAUACCGCGUAGGUGAAGAAGGCCUUCGGGUUGUAAAGCCCUUUUGUUGGGAAAGAAAAGCAGCAGGUUAAUACCCCGCUGUUCUGACGGUACCCAAAGAAUAAGCACCGGCUAACUUCGUG